rnacentral:rRNA from 1 species
AGAGUUUGAUCAUGGCUCAGAAUCAACGCUGGCGGCGCGCCUAACACAUGCAAGUCGAACGAGAAAGGGUAGCAAUACCUGAGUAAAGUGGCGUACGGGUGAGUAACACGUGGAUCAUCUACCUUCUAGUGGGGAAUACCGUUGGGAAACCGACGACAAUACCGCAUAAGCUCGAGAGAGGAAAGCAGCAAUGCGCUGGAAGAGGAGUCCGCGGUCGAUUAGUUAGUUGGCAGGGUAAAGGCCUACCAAGACUGUGAUCGAUAGCCGGCCUGAGAGGGCACACGGCCACACUGGCACUGAAACACGGGCCAGACUCCUACGGGAGGCAGCAGUGGGGAAUCUUGCACAAUGGAGGAAACUCUGAUGCAGCGACGCCGCGUGAGCGAUGAAGCCCUUCGGGGUGUAAAGCUCUUUCGUCAGGGACGAUUAUGACGGUACCUGGAGAAGCAGCUGCGGCUAACUACGUGCCAGCAGCCGCGGUAAUACGUAGGCAGCAAGCGUUGUUCGGAGUUACUGGGCGUAAAGGGUGCGUAGGCGGCUUUUUAAGUUUGGUGUGAAAUCUCCCGGCUCAACUGGGAGGGUGCGCCGAAUACUGAGAAGCUAGAGUGUGGGAGAGGAAAGUGGAAUUCCUGGUGUAGCGGUGAAAUGCGUAGAUAUCAGGAGGAACACCGGUGGUGUAAACGGCUUUCUGGACCAUAACUGACGCUGAGGCACGAAAGCGUGGGUAGCAAACAGGAUUAGAUACCCCAGUAGUCC